UUAUUCUCCGAUCUAGAUUGAUAUUCUCCUUCAAGUCCGGAUCGAUCUAGGUCUACUACGACACAAAUCGAUCAUCCAAUCUCCUCUCGCUGAGCGGGAAGGCUGGAAGGCGGCGACGGCCCGGGGAGCGGCGGGAAGGCGGAGACGGACAGGGGAGGGUGGCUUUGCGUGCAGCGAAGAAGGAGAAGCAGCAAGGCCGCGGCAGGAAGGCUGCAAGUCGUCUGCUAGCAUCCCCUACUCCUCUGCCCGCCCCUCCAGCCUGCCCACUGGCGGCGCUCUACUCCUUCGGCCACCCAUCUUCUCCUUCACCGUGUACGACGGCAAGACUAACCUCUGAGGUGUUUGGGAAUAGUUAAACUUUGGCAGCUGCUGCUGGUGUUGUAUCAUGAUGGAAAUUCAGUCGAUCAGCAAUUGAAUUCGACUAUUUGAACAUGCUAGCUGCUGUCAUACAAGAGGUUUGAUGGAUAAAGAAAGUCACCGAUCUGAAAAUGUGGAGCCUAGUUGAAGUGAUGAAUUCAUUACUGUUAUUUGCUAUUUAUUUUUAUGUCCAUGUACUUUAUAAUUUGGACAAGAAGAUUUGUAGGUGUGACUGCUCUAAAG